GAUUAUUUAUAACCAUCCGCUUUUGAUAUGAACCGUCUAUCGCAUUUAAUAUGAACCGUCUGAUCGCGAUUAAAUAGGAAAUAAAUCUGAACCGUUCAUCGCGAUUCGAUCUGGGCUGUCCGUACGAGAUUAAAUCUGGGUCGUCUGUGCGCGAUGCAAUCUGGAUCGUCAGUGCGUGUUUUUGAUCUGGGUCGUCCGUGCGUGCGGGA
rnacentral:lncRNA from 1 species